rfam:Salmo salar isolate Sally breed double haploid chromosome ssa01, whole genome shotgun sequence.
UGCAUUCACUACUGUAAGUCGCUCUGGAUAAGAGCGUCUGCUAAAUGACAAACU